ensembl:lncRNA
UAACUGGAGAGUUGGGAAGAAGUCUGGGAGACUGUGAAGUCAUAGAUGCAAAAUAACAUAUACCCAUACACACACAAACAGAAAAUGCAUUAACCUUAUAAAGACAAGCUCCUGAAGCUUAAUGAACAGAUAUUGAUUAAAAACCUGGCUAAGAACAUAAGCAUAUGCAAUGAAGAUCUGCUUGCUACUUGUAUGAGUGAGAGAAUGGUGUGAAUGUUGAAUAAACGGAUUAAACUAGUUUAAAAGGGUGACUCAGCAGUGCUUUUGCACUGAGUGAUCAAAACAAGUGAUUAGUAUAGAAAGAAAAUGAAAAUAAUUGAAUGAGUGGCAUGAGGUUUAAAAAGUAUUUCUUGUGCCAAGUUAAAUUGUUGAGAUAUGGCUGAGUAUGGAAAAAGUUUGAGAGCUCGUGUGAAUGUGGACAGAGGAGCUUGCUGUGUGUGUGUGAUUGAGGCCUUAAAGGAGGGGUAGAUUGUUCAGAGGUGCAAAUUUGAUUAGGAGGUUUAUAAAUUAGUGUUGACACAUUGUUGUAAGAUCUUAGGCUGAAUCUGAGUAUGGUAAAGUGCCUAAAGGGGGAUAUUGUUGUGUACGAAACGGUGCAGCUUUUGGCGAGGUUUUCAGUGUGUCGAACGGGUGAAAUUUCAGAUUGUUGAAGAUUUUUGAGGUUGUUGUUUUAUUUUUAAUAGAGGGAGUUUUGAUAAACAUGGACAUGUCUAAAAGGGCCCAUAGUUUUUAUAACAGUGCACUUAGAAAAAACCUGUCAGGUGAUUUUGUUUUGUGUUUUGAUGAGCUAAUAAUCAGCUCUCUUUUUCUCAUUUUUGUUCUAAGCAGGCCUGCAAAAGAGUGGAUAACAGCGCUGAAAAUUCUCGGUGACCUUCUCCAGAUUACAAUAGGCAGAGGAGAAGGCUAACUCUCUGUCUAAAAGGAUUGCCGCGAGCGAAUCCAGUCCAAAAGCAGAAAGAACUAUUUUCUUAAAAACAAAGUAAAACAAAUAAAUGAGUUGAUGUUGCUGAGAGUGAAGACUGAAUAUUUGCGAGAUAGUCUCCACUGUCAGCAAGACCUGAUGUUAAUGCAUGGGAGUGAAUGUGUGUAAAUGGAUGGUGACUGGACGGACCAGGCAGACCAUAGGUUGGACCGACUGGACACUGACAAAAGACUGGACUAAGGUUGGACACAUGACUGAUAAUUGUUCUGUUUUAACUUUUGUUUUAUAACACAGGUUGGAUCAUAAGUGAGGAUAAACUGAGUAUAAAAGGUGAUGUUCUGGUUAACACACAGGUUUUUGUUUCUAGGACGUUUCAAGGAUGCAGGCUGUAGAUGGAGCCAAGAAAAGAUUGGACAUAAUGAUUAAUUUGAUUUCAUUCCUUAAACACAGGUUUGAAGGGCCGGAGCAUGAAUAUCUAAUAUGAUAGGACUAACCUUUUUCUUUUAAUUUCCUAAGCUUGAGUGAAGGAUUUUGAGUUUGUAACACAUGAGAUGUGUCACAAAAAGGGGGGUGUUAAUAUAUGCGAUUAGCUACAUGAAAGGUGCUCUUUUAGGGUUACUAAGCAAAUGUCUACGUGACCUUUCUGAGUUCUGAGAAUAACUCUGUUAAGUUGACAGGAAACACGUCGAGACAGCAAUAUAGGGCAAAUAUGUUUGAGCUUGUAAUUAAAUGUGGGACUUGAAAAGAGGAAGCAAAUUGGGUACAGGACGUACUUGAGAUGAUCAGACGACAGAAAGGAGAAGAACAGAGCACAAAUACACCGAGUUGUUUAUAUUACAAAGAAGAUCAAAAGCUUGUUAGACACAGGUUAUAAUGGAAGCAUAAAAGGGAUGAGAGGAACUUUACAUAACAUAGAAAUCC